rnacentral:rRNA from 1 species
GAUGAACGCUGGCGGCGUGCUUAACACAUGCAAGUCGAACGGAAAGGCUCCUGCUUGCAGGGGUACUCGAGUGGCGAACGGGUGAGUAACACGUGGGUGAUCUGCCCUGCACUUCGGGAUAAGCCUGGGAAACUGGGUCUAAUACCGGAUAGGACCACAUUUUGGAUGGUGUGGUGGAAAGUUUUUCGGUGUGGGAUGAGCUCGCGGCCUAUCAGCUUGUUGGUGGGGUAAUGGCCUACCAAGGCGUCGACGGGUAGCCGGCCUGAGAGGGUGUACGGCCACAUUGGGAAUGAGAUACGGCCCAGACUCCUACGGGAGGCAGCAGUGGGGAAUAUUGCACAAUGGGCGCAAGCCUGAUGCAGCGACGCCGCGUGGGGGAUGACGGCCUUCGGGUUGUAAACUCCUUUCGCUAGGGACGAAGCGUUUUUGUGACGGUACCUGGAGAAGAAGCACCGGCUAACUACGUG